UUUAGUUCCCCGGGGGGGAAGUGCAAAGAACUUUGAAGAGAGAGUUCAAGAGUACGUGAAACCGCUCGGAGGCAAACGGGUGGGCCCUCGAAGGUCGAACGGGGGGAUUCAACCCGUCCGCAGGCAUGGUUGCACGUCACGGAUGGUGAGGCAUCGGGGGUUUUCUCCCCGCGUCUUGCUUAACGGAUCCGAACGUCGGACCGGUCCGUGGCACCAAAGUUAUAUCUUUGUGGCGACCGCGGGCGGGCGCACUUCCCCCUCAGUAGGACGCCGCGACCGGUCGGGUAUCGAAAGAAAAAGCGGCUUUGCAGCGGGACGACGGCAGGUAUCCGUCGCCGGUCAUCUUUCUCUCGUCCUUCGGGGCGGGGGAAAAGCCGGUCGGAAUUACAGCUGGUCUCCGCUUCGGUUGCUGCCCGACCGAGGAACUGCGUGCCCGUGCUGUCGCGUGACUUCGGUUGCGCGAGACGCGCGGUUCGCCCACCUGGCAGGCUGGGCCACCGGGUACCGGACGCCCCUUGUGGCGGUCGGCUAUCUCGCUGUGGCUCGCUGGUGGUCGGGCGUAGCUGCUCUCGUGGUGGCGCUCGUGGUCAGCGGCGAGUAGGUCGGUCGCCCACCCGACCCGUCUUGAAACACGGACCAAGGAGUCUAACAUGUGCGCGAGUCGUAGGGUUGAAUGAAACCCGAAGGCGCAAUGAAAGUGAAAGUUGGUGCGUCUGGCCGACUGAGGCGGGAUCCGUCCGGGUAUCGCUGCAGCUCUCGAGGGGGCUGUGGGAGCCCGGCGGCGCACACGGCGCCCCGCUCCCUUAA
rnacentral:rRNA from 1 species